CGGCAGGCCUAACACAUGCAAGUCGAGCGGUAGCACAGAGAGCUUGCUCUCGGGUGACGAGCGGCGGACGGGUGAGUAAUGUCUGGGAAACUGCCUGAUGGAGGGGGAUAACUACUGGAAACGGUAGCUAAUACCGCAUAACGUCGCAAGACCAAAGUGGGGGACCUUCGGGCCUCAUGCCAUCAGAUGUGCCCAGAUGGGAUUAGCUAGUAGGUGGGGUAACGGCCCACCUAGGCGACGAUCCCUAGCUGGUCUGAGAGGAUGACCAGCCACACUGGAACUGAGACACGGUCCAGACUCCUACGGGAGGCAGCAGUGGGGAAUAUUGCACAAUGGGCGCAAGCCUGAUGCAGCCAUGCCGCGUGUGUGAAGAAGGCCUUCGGGUUGUAAAGCACUUUCAGCGGGGAGGAAGGCGUUAAGGUUAAUAACCUUGGCGAUUGACGUUACCCGCAGAAGAAGCACCGGCUAACUCCGUGCCAGCAGCCGCGGUAAUACGGAGGGUGCAAGCGUUAAUCGGAAUUACUGGGCGUAAAGCGCACGCAGGCGGUCUGUCAAGUCGGAUGUGAAAUCCCCGGGCUCAACCUGGGAACUGCAUUCGAAACUGGCAGGCUAGAGUCUUGUAGAGGGGGGUAGAAUUCCAGGUGUAGCGGUGAAAUGCGUAGAGAUCUGGAGGAAUACCGGUGGCGAAGGCGGCCCCCUGGACAAAGACUGACGCUCAGGUGCGAAAGCGUGGGGAGCAAACAGGAUUAGAUACCCUGGUAGUCCACGCCGUAAACGAUGUCGAUUUGGAGGUUGUGCCCUUGAGGCGUGGCUUCCGGAGCUAACGCGUUAAAUCGACCGCCUGGGGAGUACGGCCGCAAGGUUAAAACUCAAAUGAAUUGACGGGGGCCCGCACAAGCGGUGGAGCAUGUGGUUUAAUUCGAUGCAACGCGAAGAACCUUACCUGGUCUUGACAUCCACAGAACUUUCCAGAGAUGGAUUGGUGCCUUCGGGAACUGUGAGACAGGUGCUGCAUGGCUGUCGUCAGCUCGUGUUGUGAAAUGUUGGGUUAAGUCCCGCAACGAGCGCAACCCUUAUCCUUUGUUGCCAGCGGUUAGGCCGGGAACUCAAAGGAGACUGCCAGUGAUAAACUGGAGGAAGGUGGGGAUGACGUCAAGUCAUCAUGGCCCUUACGACCAGGGCUACACACGUGCUACAAUGGCAUAUACAAAGAGAAGCGACCUCGCGAGAGCAAGCGGACCUCAUAAAGUAUGUCGUAGUCCGGAUUGGAGUCUGCAACUCGACUCCAUGAAGUCGGAAUCGCUAGUAAUCGUAGAUCAGAAUGCUACGGUGAAUACGUUCCCGGGCCUUGUACACACCGCCCGUCACACCAUGGGAGUGGGUUGCAAAAGAAGUAGGUAGCUUAACCUUCGGGAGGGCGCUUACCACUUUGUGAUUCAUGACUGGGGUGAAGUC
rnacentral:rRNA from 1 species